UACGAAGGGUCCAAGCGUUGUUCGGAAUCAUUGGGCGUAAAGCGAGCGCAGGCGGAUCAGUAAGUCAGGUGUGAAAUCUCGAGGCUCAACCUCGAAAUUGCGCCUGAAACUACUAGUCUAGAAUGUCGGAGGGGGAUAGGGGAAUUUCACGUGUAGGGGGUAAAAAUCCGUAGAGAUGUGAAGGAACACCGGAGGCGAAGGCGCCUAUCUGGACGACUAUUGACGCUGAGGCUCGAAAGCGUGGGGAGCAAACAGG
rnacentral:rRNA from 1 species